GACGAACGCUGGCGGCGUGCCUAAUACAUGCAAGUCGAACGCUUCUUUCCUCCCGAGUGCUUGCACUCAAUUGGAAAGAGGAGUGGCGGACGGGUGAGUAACACGUGGGUAACCUACCCAUCAGAGGGGGAUAACACUUGUAAACAGGUGCUAAUACCGCAUAACAGUUUAUGCCGCAUGGCAUAAGAGUGAAAGGCGCUUUCGGGUGUCGCUGAUGGAUGGACCCGCAGUGCAUUAGCUAGUUGGUGAGGUAACGGCUCACCAAGGCCACGAUGCAUAGCCGACCUGAGAGGGUGAUCGGCCACACUGGGACUGAGACACGGCCCAGACUCCUACGGGAGGCAGCAGUAGGGAAUCUUCGGCAAUGGACGAAAGUCUGACCGAGCAACGCCGCGUGAGUGAAGAAGGUUUUCGGAUCGUAAAACUCUGUUGUUAGAGAAGAACAAGGACGUUAGUAACUGAACGUCCCCUGACGGUAUCUAACCAGAAAGCCACGGCUAACUACGUG
rnacentral:rRNA from 1 species